GAUGAACGCUAGCGGCAGGCUUAACACAUGCAAGUCGAGGGGCAUCGAGAGUAGCAAUACUUGUCGGCGACCGGCGCAAGGGUGCGUAACACGUGAGCAACAUACCCGUUUCAGGAGGAUAACCGGAGGAAACUCUGCCUAAUACUCCAUGACAUCAUCAAACGGCAUCGUUUGAUGAUUAAAGAUUUAUCGGAAACGGCUUGGCUCGCGGGACAUUAGCUCGUUGGUGAGGUAACGGCUCACCAAGGCGACGAUGUCUAGGGGUUCUGAGAGGAAGGUCCCCCACACUGGAACUGAGACACGGUCCAGACUCCUACGGGAGGCAGCAGUGAGGAAUAUUGGACAAUGGUCGGAAGACUGAUCCAGCCAUGCCGCGUGAAGGUUACUGUCCUAUGGAUAUUAAACUUCUUUUGUAUGAGAGACAAUAAGGUGCACGUGUGCACCGAUGAGAGUAUCAUACGAAUAAGCAUCGGCUAACGUCCG
rnacentral:rRNA from 1 species